rnacentral:rRNA from 1 species
GACGAACGCUGGCGGCGCGCCUAACACAUGCAAGUCGAACGGAGAUUACAGGCGGAAGUUUUCGGAUGGAAGCUUGUAAACUUAGUGGCGGACGGGUGAGUAACACGUGAGCAACCUGCCUAUCAGAGGGGGAUAACGAUUGGAAACGAUCGCUAAUACCGCAUGACAUAGCGGAAUCGCAUGGUUCUGCUAUCAAAGAUUUUAUCGCUGAUAGAUGGGCUCGCGUCCGAUUAGAUAGUUGGUGGGGUAACGGCCUACCAAGUCGACGAUCGGUAGCCGGACUGAGAGGUUGAACGGCCACAUUGGGACUGAGACACGGCCCAGACUCCUACGGGAGGCAGCAGUGGGGAAUAUUGCACAAUGGGGGAAACCCUGAUGCAGCGACGCCGCGUGGAGGAAGAAGGUCUUCGGAUUGUAAACUCCUGUUGUUGAGGAAGAUAAUGACGGUACUCAACAAGGAAGUGACGGCUAACUACGUG